rnacentral:rRNA from 1 species
UACGUAGGGUGCAAGCGUUGUCCGGAAUUAUUGGGCGUAAAGAGCUCGUAGGCGGUUUGUUGCGUCGGCUGUGAAAACCUGAGGCUCAACCUCAGGCCUGCAGUCGAUACGAGCAGACUAGAGUGUUGCAGGGGAGACUGGAAUUCCUGGUGUAGCGGUGAAAUGCGCAGAUAUCAGGAGGAACACCGGUGGCGAAGGCGGGUCUCUGGGCAGCAACUGACGCUGAGGAGCGAAAGCGUGGGGAGCAAACAGG